rnacentral:rRNA from 1 species
AGUGAACGCUGGCGGUAGGCCUAACACAUGCAAGUCGAACGGCAGCACAGUAAGAGCUUGCUCUUACGGGUGGCGAGUGGCGGACGGGUGAGGAAUACAUCGGAAUCUACUUUUUCGUGGGGGAUAACGUAGGGAAACUUACGCUAAUACCGCAUACGACCUACGGGUGAAAGCAGGGGAUCUUCGGACCUUGCGCGAUUGAAUGAGCCGAUGUCGGAUUAGCUUGUUGGCGGGGUAAAGGCCCAACAAGGCGACGAUCCGUAGCUGGUCUGAGAGGAUGAUCAGCCACACUGGAACUGAGACACGGUCCAGACUCCUACGGGAGGCAGCAGUGGGGAAUAUUGGACAAUGGGCGCAAGCCUGAUCCAGCCAUACCGCGUGGGUGAAGAAGGCCUUCGGGUUGUAAAGCCCUUUUGUCGGGAAAGAAAAGCAGCAGGUUAAUACCCCGCUGUUCUGACGGUACCCAAAGAAUAAGCACCGGCUAACUUCGUG